rnacentral:rRNA from 1 species
AGUGAACGCUGGCGGUAGGCCUAACACAUGCAAGUCGAACGGCAGCACAGUAAGAGCUUGCUCUUACGGGUGGCGAGUGGCGGACGGGUGAGGAAUACAUCGGAAUCUACUUUUUCGUGGGGGAUAACGUAGGGAAACUUACGCUAAUACCGCAUACGACCUACGGGUGAAAGCAGGGGAUCUUCGGACCUUGCGCGAUUGUAUGAGCCGAUGUCGGAUUAGCUAGUUGGCGGGGCAAAGGCCCACCAAGGCGACGAUCCGUAGCUGGUCUGAGAGGAUGAUCAGCCACCCUGGAUCUGAGACACGGUCCAGACUCCUACGGGAGGCAGCAGUGGGGAAUCUUGGGCAAUGGGCGCAAGCCUGAUCCAGCCAUACCGCGUGGGUGAAGAAGGCCUUCGGGUUGUAAAGCCCUUUUGUUGGGAAAGAAAAGCAGCAGGUUAAUACCCCGCUGUUCUGACGGUACCCAAAGAAUAAGCACCGGCUAACUUCGUG